AUUGUUGGUGAUGUGCUUAAACUAUGCUCUUUUGCAACCGAGAAGAUAUAUUCUUGCUAAUGAUCCGACAACCCUAAAAAGCCUACCUAUUGAAUGUCUUGCUUUCUUGCUUUGGAGUUCCUGAGGAAGGAGAGGUUCAGUGGCAGCGUUUGGAAGAAGCACUAAUAGCAAAAGAUGUUCGACGUGUUGGUGUGCGUUGGGAUAGGAUAUGCUCAAGUAACAGGCUUCUCUGGAUGGGACUUCAUGGUUCAAAGAACUAUGAAACUGUGAAGGAAGCCAAAACUAAUCUUGAGAUAGAAGUGGAAUCAGUGAAUGGAGAUUCUGGAAUGAUGGUACCUGGGAUAGUCAGCAGACUAUCUAUUGCUGGUGAUGUGCUGAAAUUUUGCUCUUGUAAUUGAGAUAGCUGAUGAAUGGUUGGCCAAUGCAGAUCCAAGCAGAGAAUUAAACACCAUCUGUUGUGAUUAUAUUGCUCAAAAUGUCUGGCGUCAUCUGAUGACAUCAAGGGCUACAAACUCUGGUAUUACAAGAGUAGAGAAUGACAUACUAAGAGCCUAGUUGUGCCUUAUGCUGAGAAUGGCGACUUGGGUCACCAAAAGUGAUUAGUGUCAAGAUAAUUCACAAAAGCGUGAUUCACCAGAGUGCAGGUUUUAAGAAAGAGAAUCCCAUUCAUUGAAGUAAUUAAUUCUAGCGCCAUGAGGGAGUCUGAAACUACAACGUCAGUUGGGUCUCUUCUGAAUUUGAAGUUAGGGAAUGGGACAAGAUUCGUCCAGCUAAAUGAUUCCAGUUACUAGUUGAGAAAACUUAGUCACCUUAUCUUGGUUAUUCAAGCUGUAGAAUGUAAUCAUUAGAUAUUUUCAUAUUCACUGUUGUUGUUUCUUUCAUAUAUUUGAAGCAGGGUACCUUAUAUCUGUUGCCAUUUGGAUUAUAAUAAAUCCACAUUUUCUUUCUCAGUA